CGUCACAAGUUGUAUCAUUUUUUUGUUGUGGAGAACAAUUGCAAAUUUUGUGUUAUUGUAGACGAAGGAUUAAACAUCGACGGCAGACUGGUUGCCCUCAAGAAAUGCGAUGGAACAAUGAAAUAGGAUGAAUGUGAGGCAACGAUGUGCCAUUGCUAUGAUGCAGG
rnacentral:rRNA from 12 species